rnacentral:tRNA from 1 species
GACGGGUGGUGGCCGGGGGCGGCCCGGCCGUGACCGCCGACGAGACCGUUCCGGCGGCGCGCAGCUGAGCGUUCCGGUCGCCCGACCCGGUG